CGGGAGAGUUUACAAAGGAAGACGAAAGUAUACUGGACAUGUAAAAUCUUGAUUGAUUUAAUCUUCUUCCUUAAUCUGUAACUGAUUUGAUUUGAAUCUUGGUUAUAUACACUUGUAUGGUAACCAGACGGAAGUUCAUCAUGAAACAAGGAAAGAGUGAGAAAGAUAUACAGAGUCCAAGACAAGAAAUCAAGGUUAUAUACACUUGUAUGGUGGGUGUGUGAGUCUCUCGUUGGAUUUGACCAGCAUACUAUACUUGUUUGUAUGCUUUCAGAUAUUGCGGAAGCUCAAGCUUGGGAAUAUUAUUGAAAUGCUCGAUUCCUUUGAGAACGAACGAGAGUUUUGUGUUGUCACUGAGUUUGUCCAAGGUGAGUUGUUUGAGAUUCUUGAAGAUGACAAGCGCCUUCCCGAAGAGCAAGUUCAAGCCAUCGCUAAGCAGCUGGUAAAAUCAUUUGCAUUACUUGCAUUCCAACCAUAUAAUUCACCGUGACAUGAAGCCACAAAACAUUCUUAUUGGUGUUGGGUCUGUCGUUAAGCUAUGCGAUUUUGGAUUUGCUCGAGCUAUGUCUACCAACACUGUGGUUUUGCGAUCCAUUAAAGGCACUCCACUGUACAUGGCGCCAGAGCUUGUGAGAGAACAGCCAUACAAUCACACUGCUGACCUGUGGUCCCUUGGUGUUAUAUUGUAUGAAUUAUAUGUUGGUCAACCUCCAUUCUACACUAAUUCUGUUUACGCUCUAAUCCGACACAUUGUUAAGGUAUAUAAAUCAUUGCAUAUUCUUGUCCAUAGUCUAUGCAAAUAGUUUGAGCUAUUUGAGUCCUUAUUUCAAAAGCCCUGAUGAAAUGAGUCCUUAUUUCAAAAGCUUUUUGAAAGGAUUACUCAAUAAGGUGAAGUUUCUAUUUUGAUCCAAGCUACUUUUACUUGUUAUUAAUAUUUGUGAGAUCAUCUUGGAAGGGGCUAAAAUGUUUGUAUAUUACAAUGCAAAACAGGUGCCCCAAAGUCAAUUGACCUGGCCUGCUCUUCUCGAGCACCCCUUCAUUAAAGAUUCACUAGAGGAAGUUGAAGCCAGGGAAAUGCAUACUGCGGUAGUUAGACAUAAGGCAGCCUGGAGACUCAAAGAAAGUGGAGGUCAACAGAAAAAUGAAAAGUGUGACUCGUCGACCCCAUUUAAGGACGCCUCUGCUCCCGGAGUUGUAGCUGCUGCUCAGUCAGAUAUGAAGAGUGCUGUCAAAGUAAAUUAUCCCUCUCCUGAGGAUUUCCUCGGAUUCUCAACCCAUGAGGUUAUUAAAAGUUCAGGUAAUGGGA